GUAACAGGUCUUCGGAUGCUGACGAGUGGCGAACGGGUGAGUAAUACAUCGGAACGUGCCUAGUAGUGGGGGAUAACUACUCGAAAGAGUAGCUAAUACCGCAUGAGAUCUACGGAUGAAAGCAGGGGACCUUCGGGCCUUGUGCUACUAGAGCGGCUGAUGGCAGAUUAGGUAGUUGGUGGGGUAAAGGCUUACCAAGCCUGCGAUCUGUAGCUGGUCUGAGAGGACGACCAGCCACACUGGGACUGAGACACGGCCCAGACUCCUACGGGAGGCAGCAGUGGGGAAUUUUGGACAAUGGGCGAAAGCCUGAUCCAGCAAUGCCGCGUGCAGGAUGAAGGCCCUCGGGUUGUAAACUGCUUUUGUACGGAACGAAAAGCCUGGGGCUAAUAUCCCCGGGUCAUGACGGUACCGUAAGAAUAAGCACCGGCUAACUACGUGCCAGCAGCCGCGGUAAUACGUAGGGUGCAAGCGUUAAUCGGAAUUACUGGGCGUAAAGCGUGCGCAGGCGGUUUUGUAAGACAGUGGUGAAAUCCCCGGGCUCAACCUGGGAACUGCCAUUGUGACUGCAAGGCUAGAGUGCGGCAGAGGGGGAUGGAAUUCCGCGUGUAGCAGUGAAAUGCGUAGAUAUGCGGAGGAACACCGAUGGCGAAG
rnacentral:rRNA from 1 species